GGUGAGGCAGGGUGGAGGCAGGACCUCGGCCCUUUUGUUCUGAGGAUUCAGAGAGGACGUAUAACAGCUCCUGGCAGAAUCACUGAUCUCUCCCAAAGAAGAUGGAUGGGCACAGAACUUCUACCUGGAUCUGCUUUAAAUGUGGCAAAGCUGGCCACUGGGCAAAGAGCUGCCUUUCACCUUGACUGCUGCCAAGACCCUGUUCAGACUGUGGACAAGCAUGACAUUGGGAAGCUGAUUUACCCACUUUGCCUAGACAAGAUAGCCCCACCACUCUAUAGGAAAGUCUGUCAGAUCUUCUGGAUCUGGCAGCUGAAGACUGAUACUGCCUUGGGACUUCUGUCCCCAAUGACCACAGAAGAACCUAGGGUGAAUGUCCAGGAAGCUGUCCAUAUUGUGUCAUCAGACACCAUCUGGGGAUCAUUUGUGUAACUGUAGACUGCUGAGCUCUGGACUUGCUGGAAGCUGAUGUCAACCACUCAGCCAAUGUGACUGUUCUAUGACCCUUAAGCUGGAUCAGCUAAUAAGAUGCUUCUGGUAAAUGCUCCAUUGCCCAUCCUUUGACUAGCCUAUCAGACUCCCUGGGCCCUGAUGAUGCCCCAGGUUCAGCUGGAAGUCAUCACAGAAGAGAGUAAUCCUGCCCCCCCAACAACAGGGUGAAAUGCUAAGUCAAAAGGGGACAUAAGGGACAAAAUGGCUACCUGUAAUGCCAAUUGACAUACUAGAAAAGUGGACUCAGAUUUGUCAACAGGUAUAUUCAUUAACUGAAAGAAUUUUACAAUAUGAUAGGGCACUUUCCCUUAAAGAGAUGUAAUACCUCUUUGUUUUAUAAAAAACAAAGCCUUUGAGGAAAAACUUAUUUCUAUACAAGCCAUUUGGGAUUUUAAUCUGGCUGUACUAAAAAAAAUUGCAAAAAAAAAAGGGGGGACCUCAUAUUUACGGCUAGUACCCUCCUUAUUCCCAGGCUCUUUCUAAGUAGUAACUCUGAUGUCAGCCAUCACAGGGCCUUUGGCCCUUCUGCUUCUGCUAAUUGCUGUUGGCUUUUGUACCACAGAUUCUUCGGCCAAAUAAAAAUUCUUGCCUGGGUACCACUAAGCUGAUGGUCAUUAGAUUCCUUCAUUCUUACCAAGACUUGUGAUUUCUGCAUUCUAGUUCAUUUGACUCCUCAAGUAUGUUACUAUUCAGGAGGAGACGGAGCAGCGCCUUUAGAACUUUCUCACUGAACUUGUUGGUGCCCCUAGUAAUAGGGGUGGGGACAGCAGACUCGGUAAAACAGGGAACCGCUGCACUUGUCUAUGAUAGUCAAAACUUUAAGCUCUUGAGUCAAU
rnacentral:lncRNA from 1 species